rnacentral:rRNA from 1 species
UACGGGGGGGGCAAGCGUUGUUCGGAAUUACUGGGCGUAAAGGGCUCGUAGGUGGCCAACUAAGUCGGACGUGAAAUCCCUCGGCUUAACCGGGGAACUGCAUCCGAUACUUGAUGGCUUGAGUUCGGGAGAGGGAUGCGGAAUUCCAGGUGUAGCGGUGAAAUGCGUAGAUAUCUGGAGGAACACCGGUGGCGAAGGCGGCAUCCUGGACCGACACUGACGCUGAGGAGCGAAAGCCAGGGGAGCAAACGGG